UUGCCGCGCUUAUUGCGCGGCGAUAAACCUUACACACUUUGUUUUUAUUAUUAAAGACACCAUUGCUUUGGUGGGUGAGAGUAAAAUCUUGUCCGCCAGAGGUUUAACAAAAACUCUAUAAUAUAACUUUUUUUAAAUUGUCAACUUAAAUACGUUUGCUGAUUAAUUUCGGUGAAUACAAAUAUUUAAAACUUUCAACAACGGAUCUCUUGGUUCUCGCAUCGAUGAAGAACGCAGCGAAUUGCGAUAAGUAUUGUGAAUUGCAGAAUUUCGUGAAUCAUCGAAUCUUUGAACGCACAUUGCACCCUGUGGUAUUCCACAGGGUAUGCCUGUUUGAGCGUCAUUUCUCUCUCAAAACAAUAGUUUUGGUGUUGAGUGAUACUCGGGUUAUAUGCUUGAGUUUGCUUGAAAAGUAUUGGCAAGGGAAGUAAUUCUUGUGAAAGCUGUUUAUUCAAUGUAUUAGGUUUAUCCAACUCGUUGAUUGAUAGUGGGAAGAAGUGAUUGCUAUUAGGCCCGGCCUUACAACAAACAAACCAAAGUUUGACCUCAAAUCAGGUAGGAUUACCCGCUGAACU
rnacentral:rRNA from 1 species